CACGUAGGGCGCGAGCGUUGUCCGGAAUUAUUGGGCGUAAAGAGCUCGUAGGCGGUCUGUCGCGUCGGCUGUGAAAACUCGGGGCUCAACUCCGAGCUUGCAGUCGAUACGGGCAGGCUAGAGUUCGGCAGGGGAGACUGGAAUUCCUGGUGUGCGGUGAAAUGCGCAGAUAUCAGGAGGAACACCGAGUGGCAAGGCGGGUCUCUGGGCCGAUACUGACGCUGAGGAGCGAAAGCGUGGGGAGCGAACAGG
rnacentral:rRNA from 1 species